rnacentral:rRNA from 1 species
UACAUAGGGUGCGAGCGUUAAUCGGAAUUACUGGGCGUAAAGCGUGCGCAGGCGGUUCGUUAAGUCAGCUGUGAAAGCCCCGGGCUCAACCUGGGAACUGCGGUUGAAACUGGCGAACUAGAAUCUGGCAGAGGGGGGUGGAAUUCCACGUGUAGCAGUGAAAUGCGUAGAGAUGUGGAGGAACACCGAUGGCGAAGGCAGCCCCCUGGGCUAAGAUUGACGCUCAGGCACGAAAGCGUGGGGAGCAAACAGG